rnacentral:lncRNA from 1 species
GGUAACUUAGUGCCUAAGAAAAUGAGCAUUACGAGGAAGAAGAAGGUGAGACCCGAGUAGAUCCGAAUCGUGGUAUAGGUUACUCAAGCAAUUAAGCUUGAGGGGUUUCCUCACACCUGGUACCCUAAAGUCGUCUGGUUUGGGAGUCACCGGCCCAACGCCCGCUACAUGGGUAAUUUAAUUCUAAGAAAGCGAGUCUUGCACAAGCUCGGGCGAGGAGAAAAUAGAGUAGUGUGGCAUUUGUUACUGAGCAAGUAAACCCGAAGGGGUGUCUUUACACCUAGUGCCCUAAAGUCGUUUGGUUUGGGAGUCAUUGGUCCAAAACUCAUUAAAUGGGUAACUCUGAAUAGCCUAAGAAAACUAUACAAAUUAAGCGAGAGAAAAAAAUAACUAAAAUUUACAAAGUUAUAGAAAAGAAACCCCUGCUAAGGGUUGCAUCACUCAUAGUGCACGUUUUAUAUGUAAUUAAUUAUGUGAAGAAUAACGUCUAGAGUAGAGAUGAAGUAUCUCUGAUAAAAGGAGAUAAGUCUUUUAAAUCUGAUCCUACCCAUGAAUGUUUAAAAAUUUCCUUACAAUUUCAUAACUCAUUCAAUUUCAUAAACUUUAACUUCAAAUGCCUUAUUCAUAAGAUUAUACUAAUCCUGACGGCCCAAGCCGUCAAGCCUUUGCACAUUCUGUUAUUCGUUGGAUGUAUAAGAUAUUGCUCACUCUUGACUUGGUUAUCAAAGAGAGUUUCUUAUACAAAUCCCUAGUAACAACGUGUCAAAGGGCUGGGGCAUUUUCUGAUUCUAGGAAAUGAAAGGAGUCCAACGCGGGAUCAAGACUCUCAUCAAAAGAAAGGAAAGAAUUCCUUAAAGAAAUCACGGCGACAUAAGCUUACCCCUACAAAAGAAGGGAAAAAUUCUUAAAAGAGUCCUUAACUUAAAAAGAGACGCCCAAUGAUAAAAGGUCUAGCAAAUGAAAUCUUCAUCAUCAAACAUGUCAACCUGCACCAAGUCAUCACAAGUUGAGGCCUCUACACCGAAGUUAAAAUUUGGGCAGUGAAAGAAUGGGCUUCACCCUCUAGGGACGUCAGCAACACUCGGGUCACUAGUCAAGCUAGUAUCUAAUCCAGCAAGGUAGCAAGUAAAGAGCUCGCCCCUUUUCAUAAUCAAUGAUCAAACUGUUGGCAUCAAUCCAGCAUAGCAUCGGGGAAGGAUCCUGUGAUAACCAAAAUUUUUUGAAAUAAUUAAAAUAAGAAUUUAAUAAAAAAAAUUCUUAUUAUAGAAUGUGUCGAGUUUGAAUAAGAAUAUAUAGGUGUUAUAUAUUUUGAAUUUUAUUUUAUGGUUGGAAAAAAACCCAUAAAUGAGGUUUUAUAGUUGGUUAAACUAUUAAGGAAAAAUAGAGUUUUAAAACCUGAAGCUUGAUCUUUAAAUUAUUAAAGAAAGUAGUAAUCGAUGAUGUGAAAUCAAAGAAGAGAUUGAUUUUAGAUGAGUUAACAUUUAUAAAGUGUGUGCAAAGUAUUUAGAAAGGUAGGUUCUGUUUUUGCUAAGCAAGAAAUUAUCUGUAUCUAAACUUGAGGUGGCGCAGCUGCGCCACUUCCAAGCUUAUAACCAGCGCAGUUGCGCCGGUCUGCAGAAGGUUCUAAGUAAGUUUGUAAAAUUUGAAUUUUAAGACAUGUAUGUGUCAUAAUUGGUGAUUAAGAUGUCUGAGAUAGAAAAACUUGAUUUGAAUAAGAGUUAAUUAAUUAACCCGGAAUAAAUAUUGGUUAAUUAAGUGAUGUUAUGGAAUAUUAUAUUGUAAAGCCUUGUGUGAUAGUGGCGUGAUAGUAAAUGAAAAAGAGUUAAUUCACUUACAUAAGACGGUGAAUUUGUAAUACCCGAGAAUUUCUACGUAUUAUUAAAUAAAUAUAUUAUUGGAAAUAAUAUUUAUGUGAAUAUAAGUGUUAUUGUUUUAUGAGUCGAUUGUUUCAAUUGAUUCGUAUUAGAUCAAUGCGUAUUAAGAAAUGUGAAUUGACAAUGAGAAUUGUGAAAUGCCUUGUGUGGCAUAAUGUGAAACGAGGAAAUUCACUAAGCGAGUUAAAACGGGAAUUAGGAAGAUUAAUCGUGUAAGAUCAUGCGAUUUCAUAUAAGUAAUCAAUACGCUCUUAAACUUGUAAUAUCACUCUUGUGGACAUUAAUUCAUGUCGAGUAAAACAAGUUUGGCGAUGAAAGUUGACGCUGGCUUGAAGCUAAACCAGUCUUGGCACUGUCAGGGUACGGUGCAGCUGCGCCGUCCCAGCAGUACAAACUGGUGCAGCUGUGUCAGUGGUCAGUUGGAGAAAAAAAAUUAAUUUUUCUACUUUAGGAAUUAAAUCGAACAAUUAUAUGAUAUGUGUAACAUUAAUAAACCAUGGAACAAAGUGCGUUAUGUUCAACGAAGGAAUUAUUAAGUGAGCCAUUAAUGAAUAAUAUGUGUUAAUGGUGGCGGUAGAAUAUUGAUUAAUUGAUAAUGGUAAUUAAUUAAUAAUAUGUGAUUAUUAUUAUUAAUUUUAAUAUGUCUAUAAAUAUAAUAAGAAUUAUAUAGAUAAUUAAUGGUUAUGGAGAUCCAUAAAUACAUUAAUCAAGGAAGUGGAUAAUUUAUUUAUUUGACAUAAAACAAAUAAGUAAGUUAUUAAUAUAAAAAGAUUAUAUUGACUGUUAUGUGCAUAUGAGCAAUAAUUUAAAAUAUAAAAAGCAACUAUAUCAUAUAGAGUAGUGUGACACUUAUGUGACUAUAUCAUAUAUAGUAAUCAUGUAUUAAGAUUUAUUGAAAGUAUAUGCUAUGAAUACAUCAUGAAAGGUGUAUAUGACAAUAUAUAUGUGGGUAUAUAUUAAAAUAAUAUACCAUGAGCAUAUUGUAAAAUAUUAUUUUAAUAAAGUGUACCGGUGUGAUAAAAUGUACAUGAAUUAUAUGUAUGUUGCAUAACAUCUACUACCUUGAAAUGUUAAAUCAUAUUGUGACAUUAAGUUAUAAUGUAUGAUUGAUAUGUGUAUACAAUAUAGCAUAAGAAUAAGAGUAGUGUAUAAGUAUAUGAUCUAAUGUUGCAAGAAUGCUGAGUAUUUGGAAAUUGUCCCAAAAUCCAAUUGCCUCAUUUCUCAGUCACGUGUGUAGCAAAAAGGCUAAGGCCUAUUCCUCUCUUCUUCUUCCAAGCUUCCUAGCUGAUGAUUACGGGGGAGUGGUGUUCAUGAUGAAUCAACAACCAAUUACCAACUCCUUGUUAACCUUCAUGCAAUUCUUCCAUCCUUUGGUUUGAUUUCUUGGACAAUGGCUUGGCAUGGUCAAUGAAUUUCCUAUAAAAUGAACACUUCCCUUCAUUCUUUGUGUUGCUUGAGUUGUCUGAUAAAUUGCUAAGUAGGAGAUUGAGAGCAUUCUAAGACAUUGGGAGUUCAUUAGGAGCAAGCUAAUUCAUAAUUGCAGAGGUAUCAAAUUCUUCCAUUUUCAGUUUCUGUCAAAUGAAUUCUUGAGUUCUUGAAUUUCAAUUUCUUAAUUAUGUGGAAUUAGACGAUGAUGAGGUUGGAUAAUGUUUAAAUAGUUGUUAUAUAACCAUAUAAGCAUGUUGCAAUUGAUACAUGGCUGGUUAGAAUCGAAAUGGUGAAUAAUUUCUGUGUUUGGGCUAGUUUUAUGCCGACGCAGACUGUUCCUGGCUCGAACCAGACACGGCACAGCUACAUCGGAUUAACACUGAGGCGCAGCGCAGUUGUGCCGGCCCUUGAGUUCAGUUUUGAGCUUCUAUUUUAUAGUCUAUUAUAAUAUUAUGACAUAUAAUAGUAUGCAAUCAUGUGUAAGGGGUAUACAUAGAUAUAUUAACCUAAUGUGAGAAUGUUUAGACUAGAUUAGCAUGAAUAACGAAAGUGUGGAGUUUAAAAUGACUUUAUGACUUUAGAAACAAACUUGAUGUGUAUAAAUAACAUGUUUAUAUACUGACCUUACGAGCAUGUAAAUAUGGCUUCGAAAUGCAUGAAUAAACCAUUUGCUUGUGUUUAUUUGAUUAGUAAGGAAGCAUGAACAAACUACUAGUAAGCUAUGAAUGUCAAUAUUAUCAAAAUACCUUGAGGGUUAGAAUAUGAUAAUGGUGAUCGUGUUUGAUGAUACUCUUAGACUCACUCAUGUAGCAUAAAUGUAUAUACACCAUGCUUGUGUAUCAUAUUUCAAGAAAAGCAUGAACGAAGCAUAUUUACAACCAAAGCAAUGCUAAUUUCACAUAUGUGUUAUGAAUACUCGCAUGCAUGCCUAAUAUGAGUUUUAUAACUAUCUUGUAUGUUUAGAGAGCAAACAUGAUAGACUUUGUGGUUUCAUGACCUUGAAUGACCUUAAAUUGUUGAAAUGAUCAAUUUAGAAUUUUAUUAUGAAAGAAGAACCUAGAUUGACUUGAGAGGAACGAGAAGGCCUUUAACAUGACAAAAUAUAUUAUGUAUGAUUGUGUGUUCAAGCUGGACAAAAACCCCAAGGCAGCAGCUGAGUCUUGGCUUAGCCAGAGGACGGCGCAGCUGCUCCGGUCCUAGGCUUAGCCAUGGUGCAGCUGCGCCAGUCUGGAAUCUGAGAUAGUGAAAUCUGAUCUUUGGACAGCUAACUUGUGUUAAGCCUAUAUUACUAAAAGUAGUUUAAAACCUACUGAUACAUGUAUAUAAGUGAUGCUUAGAUGAUAUGAUGGUGUUUGCCUCGUAAUAGGAAGGUCCAUGCGUAAAAAGGACUUAAACUUGGGUAUUCUUAAUUUACUUAUGAAAUGACUAGGUAUUUGAUUCAUGAUGAAUUUAUAAUCUGACUUGUACCAUAUGUGCAUACUUGAAUCGUGUAAAACUUGAUUAAUGAAUGUGUUAGCUAAUGAGCAUCUUAUACUUAUAAUACGCUAUACUAGGAUUCGAAAGUGUUGAUUUAUUAACGUAGAUAAACUACGCUUAAGGCAAGUUCCUAAAUUCUUACUCUUUUACUUGAGCAAGUAUUCAAACCCUACUCUUAUUGUGUAAGUAUCUUUGCAUUACUUUAUGCAACGAAUACCGUAAGCAGAGUAUCUAAACCUUAUUUCUUUGAAUGCAAGUUAUUCUACUUAUUCGUUCAAUUGAACCAGUAUGUUUAGACUCUUGUGAAAACUAUUAUUCAUGUUGAAGUUGGUAUUUUUCUUGAAUAUUGUGAAGGAGUCGAUGCAAUUUGAUUCGGCUAGACUAUAUGCAUGUUUAUAAAAUUGUCCAAACCAAUUGAUUGGUGCGGAAAUCUUGAAAACUGAGUUGAACAACCCUUAUGGUAAGGGGAGUGUAUGUUGUUGGAAACCCCAACACAUAAAUGGGUAUUAUUGUGGUGUUAUGCAUAACUUAGAGUAUUGUAGACUGAUCAUCUAUAGUACUUGAUUCUUUUGGGUUAUCAGUUUAAUAUUGGUAACUCUAGUAGAUGUUCAUUAGUCCUUAGUGACUACUCAGUAUAAAUUGUUUAUCUAGUUGGAUACAUUGAUAGUCUUUGAAUUCAUAUAUAUCUGUCGAUUUAUAUUGAAUUAUCAUUCUUAUUCUAAGAAUUGUUUAUAUUCACUAUUCAUGAUAUUAUUCUGAAACUCUGAACUAUCUUAGAGAUGAUACUUCGAUAAUUCAAAAUUAUGAUAUUUUAUUCUUCACCAUUGUUGUAUAUUACUUGCUGGGCAAUUUGUGCUCAUCCUUGCUUAUUUAAAACCUUUCAGUUAAGGCGGAACAGGGAGGUGUCUCUGGAACAGACAAGGGAAAGGGCAAGGCUACCGACUAGCUUGUUCUUUUACGUUAAAAUUUCUGUGUUGUAUUAUGAUUAUGUUUAAACUUAAGUAGGAUUAUGUAAUAAGUCUGUAGUCGAUAUUAUUAUGUAAUCUAUUAUGUACCGUAGGUUGCGAGACUUGGGGGAAUAAUUAUAAUAAAUCAUUGUAUAUUAUUCUAAAUUUGAUCUUCCGUUGUGAAAGUGAUAUUUUAGUUAUUUUUUGUAUUCCAUGAGCAUGUGAUGAACCGAAUUCGAACGACCGAGUGGAGGUCCGAAUUUGGGGGCGUCUUAGGUUGGUAUCAAAGCUAUAGUUAUAAACCUUAGGAGUGAGUGUCCUUAGAUUAUAACUUACGAGAACUUAGAAGUUAGUAUGGAGAUAAAACUCAUGUAGGUUUUUCCUUAAGAGACUUAGUGUGUUAUGAAAUGUAACUUCAUUCUAUACAAUGAACUUAUGUUUAUUUAACAUUCUAAUAGAGUUGUUGUUUGUGUUGUCUUAUGUUGGUGAUUGUAGGAUGACUGACAUGGGAGGACCUAGCCGAGUAGUAGAGGAGGAGCCGCGUGAUAUCCACGUAGUCUAUGAGGCACCCUUGAUAGCAGAACCUAUAUCAGUAGUGGUCCAUGACGAUGACGAUGACGAUGACGAUGAGGUGGAGUCUGAUCCGGAGGAGGAGCCCGAGCCUUUGAAAGACUUCGACGAGGCUACUUUUGAGGAUCGAAUGUUAGGGGAGUAUGAGGAGCAGAUUUUGGAAUUAGGAUGUAGAGUAGAGGACCUUGAGGCUGAGGCUGAGGCUGAGGCUGAGGCUAAGGAAAGGGAUUCUGUGUUCCAGAAGUUGAGGAACGAGGACCAUCAGAGAAAAUUGGCGAUGCAAGAGAUGGAGGUCGAAAUUGCUCACCGUAAGGAGGCAGAGAUCCAGAUGGGGACCUUAUUUCACCGAUCGGUGGCAAGAAAUGUUGAGUUGUUAGGGAAGCUAGAAGAAAUGGAUCAAAGGGUUUUGAGUGAGAGAACGGAGAAGGAGACUCUCCGAACUCAUUUAGAGAUGGAGGUGAUGGAUAGAAUUCACUUCGAGGAGAAGUGGGAGGAAGCUAAUGAUAGGGUAGGUGAUCUAGAAGACGAGGUACGGUGCAAGAGGAGGAAGAUGAACAAGAUGGGCUAUGCUCUACACACGGCCAUUGAGAGAUUGAUCGAUGGGGUAAAUCAUUACCCAGCUGAGCAAGGACAGAUCCGGUAUACCAUAAGUUGAGAUAUGGUGGUGCACAUCACCCAGAAGGAAUAUCAGAGCACCGUGGAGCGUGGGAUGUUAGAUUAAGUCUAAAGGAUAAGCUCAGUAGUGUAGUAUUUUAUUUAUGUGUUGUUAAUAUGUUGUUAUAAAUCUCAAUCUUUUGUGUAAGAGGCGAGAUGAUGGUAACCCCAACUUUUGAAAAGUGUUAGAGGGGUAGUAAGCUAGUGUUGUCCCCGUCUUUUGUGAUACUAGGGGAUAUGUGAUAUCAUUUAUAGAAGUAUGCUAGAAAAGAACAUGUAUUGUAACCAUUUGGCAUAUGAAUAUAAAUGGUCUUAUUUCAGAAACGUGUUUUAAACCUCCAGUUCUUUUCUAUUGAGAAAUGUCUAUAUAUGAUAAUUAGAUAAUAAAAUGAAAAUUUUUGUGAUGAAGAAAAUGCCGCCCAGACGUAGAAUAACUGUCCUAGAAGAGUCAGUUAAUGAUGAGAGUGGUCCAGUAGAUCCGAUACAGAGACUGGUAGAUUUAUUGGGAGAAGCUCUGAGGGGAAGAAACGAACCCGUACCACCCAUUCCCCAAGUUGUCCCAGUAACAACCUUCAAAGAUUUUAAGAGUGUAGAACCCCCGGAGUUCAUGGGAACCACUGACCCGAUAGUUGCGCAAACCUGGAUCAAGGAGAUUGAGAAGGCCUUCACUAUAGCUCGCGCGGGUGAAGACCAGAAGACAGUAUUUGCCACAUAUAUGAUGAGGGGCGAAGCGAACUAUUGGUGGGAAGCUAAUUAGCAGAGAGCGGGAGAAGGAACGAUAACAUGGGAGAGGUUUACGACUCUGUUCUUCGAGAACUAUUUCCCAAAGAGUAUGAAGAGUAGGAUGGAAGUCAAGUUCCUAGAGUUAAAAUAAAGAGAUAUGACGGUGGCGCAAUACGCAGCUAAGUUCAAUGAACUAGCGCGAUUUGUGGAGCACCAAGUUGUGGAUGAGGAAAGAAAGGUGAGACGCUUCGAGCAAGGGUUGAAGCCGUGGUUGUAUAAUAAGGUAUCAGUCUUCCAGAUUGAUUCCUUUACAACAUUGUUAGAGAAGACAAUCAUUGCGGAAGGUGGCUGUGAGGCCUUAAGUCUAUAUCAUAAAGAGAAGAAGAAUAAGAACACUGGCAGUGAGCAUCGUGGAGGAAGCAGCAGCGGAGGGAGUAACUUCAGAAAGAGGUAAUGGGAAAACAAUAACAACAGAAGCAAUAAUCAAGGUGGGAGUCACCAGGGAAACUUCAAGAAAAGGGCUGAAGCUUGUAAAAAAUAUGGAAGAAGUCAUCAGGGAGAAUGUUGGAAAGGAAAACACACGUGUUAUAAUUGCGACCAAGAGGGACACAUAUCACCAAAUUGUCCAUAGCCGAAGAAGAUCAGAGGAUGUUUUGCUUGUGGAUCAACAGAGCACCAGAUAAAGGAUUGCUUGAAGAAAGAAGUGGUGGAACUGGCGGAGGCCAGGGAGGAGGAAGUAAGUUAAUGAUUGGUGGACCUACACAACCCAACUGAUCGACCGCCCGAAUAGAUGGAGGUACUAUAUUGUAAUUAAUUUUUCACAUGUUUAGAACUAUUGAGUCACAUGAUUUACUAUUAAGUCACAUGGUUUUACUAUUGAUUCACAUAAUUUACUAUUAGGGGAGUUGGUGCAAGUUUGAUAAUACUUGGAUGACUGAAUUAAAAAUGAAAGAAAAGUUGGAGGUAUUGUACUGUAAUAUUUCGAGCCCCAAAACAUGCAAUUAUCGAAACUUAUUUCCUAUAAAUAGAAGCUCAUUCUUCCUUCAUUUCUCACCAAUUCACUAAAGCUUUAGGGCCAUUAUUAUAGAGAGAAAUUAUAGAGAGAAAGAAGAAGAGAAGUCUGCUACAUUUCUAUUCUAGUAUCCAGCUUCAUUCUAAGGUAAGGGGUAUUAUUCUUUCGUAUUCAUGAAGAGAAUUACUUUCUUUCAAUACUCGUAAGAGUUGUUAUUCCAUUCUUCAUUAUUAUGUUGGAAUAACCUGUUUAUGCGAAGUACCUCAUACAUGGUGAAAUUCUUCUAUCAUUCCAUUCUUUAUUAUUCUGUCAGAAUAUCCUGUCUGUGUAUUUUACGCCGGACCUGGUUCCAUUAUUUAUUAUUCUGUCGGAAUAUCCUGUCUGUGCGUUUACGCCGGACCUGGUUCCAUUAUUUAUUAUUCUGUCGGAAUAUCCUGUCUGUGCGUUUACGCCGGACCUGGUUCCAUUAUUUAUUAUUCUGUUGGGAAUAACCUGUCUGUGCAGUCUAUCGCACGCAUGGUGAAUCCUUCUGUUAUUCCAUUCUUUAUUAUUCUGUUGGAAUAACCUGUCUAUGUGGAUUACCACAUGCAUGGUGAAUGAUCCUUUGUAUUCAUUCCUUAUUAAAUUGUGGAAAUGAUCUGUAUACGUGGAUUACCGCAUGGCGGGUGAAAAUCCAUUUAUAGUUUCAUAUAUUCUUUAUUAUACUCAGUUGGUUAAAGUUUUAACUUCUAUACUCCAUGAAAUUAGUGGAAUAUCCUUGAUAUUUGCGCUUCUUCCAGUAUCUUUUCAUGAAAAUAUUAUUCUGAGCAUUUCUUAAAUUUUACUCUACAAAGAAGUAUCAUGUUGACAAUUUGGACGUUAUUAGUUCUUGGAUAAAUUAAUUAUUGAACUUGUUUUAUUAAAUUAUUAUGUCGUUGUCAUCAUCCUCAUGCUUAUAUUGUAAUGAAAGUCAUCUUUGGCUUACGUGCAUAGAUGGACUUAGUAUGAUUAUAACCAGGGAUCAUUCGGUAUAAUCAUGACCUGUAAUGUUAUAAAUGAUAUGGUAAAAGUCCUCAGUAGCCUGUAAUGCAUUGAUGUACAGUUUUUGGUAUGAUUAUGACCAGGAAUUAUUCGGUAUAGUCAUGACCAUUGAUGAUUUAAUGAAUAUCCUUGGCUCGUAGUACAAGGAUGAUUAGAAGAUAUGGUUUAUUUAUUAAGCUGAGUCUCAGCGAUAAAAGUUGAUGAAAACAUUUUUAAAUCAUAGAAGAUAGUAUGUUUUAUUCUCUACUUGACUCUUCUAAUGGAUUGCUUAUUCCGCUGCAGUCAAACUUGAUGUCUAUUGUAUUUUAUCAGUUUAACAUUGUUNNNNNNNNNNNNNNNNNNNNNNNNNNNNNNNNNNNNNNNNNNNNNNNNNNNNNNNNNNNNNNNNNNNNNNNNNNNNNNNNNNNNNNNNNNNNNNNNNNNNUUGAUAAUUUAUUCUGCAUUAUCUUAGUCAUAAUAUUUCUUACUGGGCUAGUUGAGCUCACCCUUUCUUUCACUGUUCUCUUCAGGAAAUGAGAAUAUAGCUGAGACGAGCCGGGGAAAUGAGUGAUAGUCCAGAAGAUAGCAUUAGUAGUCCUCACUAUUCUGUUAAAUAGUGUGACAAUAAAUGUAAUGAGGACUCCUUUGAGUGUGGAUAUUGUCUAGAUGACAAUAUUCCUAUUAAAACUCUGAGUUUAUGUAUUUUCGUAUAUUACACGACGGUUGUAUAAUUAAGUUUGUAUUUGUAUUUUGUACCAUGUAUUUGGCGACUCAAAAUGGGUGAUGUAUACCUAUUUUAAGGGUGUCACAACAUACAAUAGUCUAAGAUUCUGGCCUUGGUUCAUUCCACAUUGCAUAGUACCGGCUCAAAUAAUGAGCUGCUCCUUGAGUAUCCUGGAUGUUCGUCUUAUGUAUUCCUUGAACAACAUAAGCAUUGGAGGAAGACAGAUAAGUGGUCGUAUAACAAGUAAUUUGAAAAGAAAAAGAAAAUAAGCAAUUCACAACAAUGUCUUCAAACUAUAAGUUGCAGCCAAAAAGUAGAAUCAGCUGCAAGAGGAAAAGUAAAUUGAAAAUAUAAGGCAGAGUGAUGGCAAUCAAGAGAUAUAUUCGUGAAGUUGUAGGAUAGGAAAGUCAAAACCUGAAUUCUAAAAAUUAUGUUCAGUGAGAAGGGCUGGGAGAGACUUUCGAACAAAGUCCAAAUCGCCAGUUCUAAUAAAUAUAUCUAUAAUCAUUGCACUCAGGAGUGGAGGUUGGCUGCAGAAGAGUCCACCAAAGUAUAACUUUCUUUUAUCAGAUAUAAAUGAAUGGAAGACAAAGAAGCAGGUUGCAAUUGUUGUUUGCAAUUUUUUAAUUACUGAGAAUUUUAAACUAGUUAAUAUCAAUCCAUCAUUUGUAAGAUAAGCGAAAGUGAAUGCAAUAAACCUUAUGCAUUGGAGGUUAAGCGUACCCAGGAGUUUUAAUAUGUUCCCAGAAGUCUAAUGUUUCAUAUGUAUAUAUAUAACAAAUUUUUUUCUGCGUGAAGAAUGCUAAAGAAGAGGGGACAAAGGGAGAUUGUACACUACGAACACACACACACACAAACUUAUGCUUUGGAGAAAAUGAUAAUGAAACCUCAAGCCCCCUCCCCAAAAAAAAAAACCCAAAAAAACAAAAAAACAAAAAAAGAAGACUUAUAAAUGGAUAUCCUCCAUAAUCCACAAGUCCAAACUACAUUACAGGUGAAAAAUAUCAGCAGAGUAAUUGUACUACUAGUAAACGAACUAACAUACAUGAAUCAAAAGACUAAUAUGGUAAAACACAAAAAAUAAAAAUUACUAUCAAAAGAACAAUUCCAAAGACGCUUAAUUUUUAAUUAUUUUUUUUCCAUUAAUUUGAGAAAAAACCCAAAUUCUAUUUUUUAAAAAAUACUAAGAAAGUGAAAGAAAACAAACCCUUUUCUGAUAACUUGAAGAAAUGUCCAAAGAAGCCAAAAUUCACAUAAGACUUCACCUUUUAAGGACAAUCAAUCAUUUAACACCACAUAUUGUGUAUAUAAUUAAAGAAAAUGAAAAGGAUAUGAAGAAAUUGAGCACUAACAUGGGAGUUUCUUCAAAAAGGGAGCUCCGAUUUCUUUGAGAAUCCUACCCAAAGCGAGACGGAUUUAAAUCCGAUGAAGGGGAUAUUCAAAACCACUAUGCAAAUCUAACCCAUAGCCAGACAAGGAGAGAGCUAGGUUAGGGAUACUGAGGAAGAUGAGUUUGGGGAGAAGAGAGAGCGUUCUAUUUUGCUGAGAGAGUUCUUUUGGGUCGGCAUAAAAGUCUCUCUAGUUUCAUUUAUCAAAAC